UCGAGCCAGGCUUUCUCCUUCUCCAUCAGAGCUUGGGGUUAAAGGCAGGAGUGCUGAGGCCCUUUCCCUUCCAUCCACUGCCUCUCCUGUACCUCGGGCUGGGCCCUCUUCCUCCCACAGCUCUGGGGUCCUGUGCCCCGAAGAGCUUCCUUCCUCCUUCCACACGCCUCCCAGUGCCUCCCAGGAUUGCAACUUGGCGGAACCGAGCAGGGAGAAGCAGCAGCUUCAAGGCCAUUAGAGCAGAGCGGUUAAGAGAGUGGACUUUGUUGCCUGGAGAGAGCCGAGACCUUGAGCACAUGACUUCGCCUCUCUGAGCCUCAGUUUUCUGACCUAUACAAUGGGAUAUUAACAGCCCCUUCCUCGUAGGGCUGUCGUGAGUGUUAGGUGAGAUCCUAACGCAGGUAAAACACCCCGAUAAAGAGAGCGAGCAUUGUUAUGCCACCCCCCAAGUUCUGCUCCCUUGGUCCCGGAUGGGAGUCCGGAUCUGUGCCCCCCGCCCCCACCCGGGCCCCCUGAUCAGCACAGAACAAGGGCCAGCCAGAAUUCCUGCCAUUGCAGGGAUACGCUGGGUGGGUUAUUUUUAGUUCGUUGGCAAGUGACUGUUACUGACCAAAUGUUCCCACCACCGGGGACAGACUCUGCUAAGAGGACACUUGUGUGCUGAACGCAGGGCGGGGAGGGGUGUUUAUGGCCUGUCCCCAAGGACUCCACGUGUGUCCCUUUUGCACACGCGUUUGGACACAGGUUCUGAGGCCAUUGGCGGAGGAGGGAGCAGAAGGGCCGGGUGGAUUCAGGAAGCAGGCUCACCUAGCCUUUCUCUCUUUCCCAACUGGGCACGAGGGUGCCUGGCACUAAGGACGCUCCUCAGCGUGGAACGAGAAACAAUGUCACCCUCAGAGAGGAGUGUACCUCUCAGCCCACUGGCCAGCACUCCAUGUUCCUCCCUUUAGGAAAGACCCAGCUUCCACUGGCCUAGUGUGUGUGCACACACGUGUGCCUUCUGGUCAUUGCUCCAGAACACGAGGAGGGAAGAAACAGAAAAUCAUCAAAGAGGAAAAGUUAACGGCUGGAGAGGGCAUUGUUAACCCUUAUGGCUUGGCUCACCUGGCUUUCCACCCUGCAGCUCCGCGUGCACCCGCCAAAGCGGCUGAGUCUUUUUAUGACUACAACUCCAAGAAGGGAAAAAAGACGCAAAAAGAAGAGGUGGGAAAAAACCAAACCAGGAGGCGGAGGAGAAAAAAGCAAAAGAAAAGAGAAAGAGAAUUAAACCAUUAAUCUGCCUGGAUUUUCCACUUCACAGAGUAAUCAGUUUGGAAGUGACUGAAAUAAAGUGGAAUGUACGAUUCCCACCA